GUAGGGAAUCUUGCGCAAUGGGCGAAAGCCUGACGCAGCCAUGCCGCGUGAAUGAUGAAGGUCUUAGGAUUGUAAAAUUCUUUCACCGGGGACGAUAAUGACGGUACCCGGAGAAGAAGCCCCGGCUAACUUCGUGCCAGCAGCCGCGGUAAUACGAAGGGGGCUAGCGUUGCUCGGAAUUACUGGGCGUAAAGGGAGCGUAGGCGGAUAGUUUAGUCAGAGGUGAAAGCCCAGGGCUCAACCUUGGAAUUGCCUUUGAUACUGGCUAUCUUGAGUAUGGAAGAGGUAUGUGGAACUCCGAGUGUAGAGGUGAAAUUCGUAGAUAUUCGGAAGAACACCAGUGGCGAAGGCGACAUACUGGUCCAUUACUGACGCUGAGGCUCGAAAGCGUGGGGAGCAAACAGGAUUAGAUACCCGGGUAGUCC
rnacentral:rRNA from 1 species